CUCAGUUUCUGUGGGAAGAAAUCCACGUAUGUAAGAGUCAACUAGAGACUGACUUCAGCUCAAACAAGUUCUGCCUUCAGAGGAUGGAACUGCCAGUACAAUAUAUGUAUGCACCCAGAAAUCUCAAAAUCAGCGAAAGGGGAGGCUCCACCUUGCAGAGGCAAUGGCUCGGAUCCAACAGCAUCACUGUACCUGCUUGUAUCAUCCAGCAUGAGUGAUCUGGUCACCUCAGCAGCAGUGCUCACAAGAGUACCGCACAUGAAACGCUUCUCUGAGUUCUUGGUCUAGGCCAUAGUCCAAAAUACCUUCCAGCAGCCACUGAGUCUCUCUCUUCAUCCCAGUCCCUAACUAGUAAGUUCCUGCAAGUGGUUUUGUUUGCUUGCUGUUCUGCCUUUGAGAUGUCUCCCUUGCUCUCCAAGACAUGGCCCGAGAGAACAGGCUGAAAGAAAUGUGGUGUGGGGGUGGGAGAAGGCUCCAGAGCAUAGAGGGGAAAAACUGUCAGGCCGGCAAAAUGGGGUUACGGGGAGAGGAAAAGAUGAGUUAGCCACUGCGGACAGAGGAGGCUCAGAUAGACAUUUCAGUUUUGGCUGCUUGGACAAGCAGAAAUUUGAUAGCUUUCUGCUCCUUAUGUUAGCAUUUUUGAAGUCUUCUCUCUGACAGUAAGUGUUUAAAUCAGCAGUGUAAUAAGUGUUUUUUGAUCUGCAUGUUACCAUCCUUGUCUUUCUGGGAGACACUGUCCUGCAUUGACUCCAGCAGGAGAGUGGAACUGUGGGAUCUAAAAAUACCAAGUGCUUUGUUCCCUGUGGUUUCUGAAGAGAUUUUACUUUGCCUAAAACCAGGUACCAGGUCUCACAGUAGGCUAGGGAAAGGACUGGGGAGAGAAAAGAAGACAGCACAUGCAUUUUAACUACAGGCAGGGGAAACAAGUGUUGGCAGAGCUGAGUAUUCAGAAGUAGCGGGGCUGCUCAGGCGAAGUCGGUGUGUUUUCCUUCUUUUUCAAAAGGGAAAGGAGGACUUUUUGUUUUGUUUGUGUGUUUACUCAGCAGGGACUGCAUUGCAGGGACUGGGGGGAGAGGCUGCCUUAAGAUAGUACAUGAAAACAAACAUGAAGCGUGUGCUCUGGGGUUUGUUCUGUCUCCUCACUAGAGAAAAUACGUGCCCGGCUCAGGUUCUCUAGACCGCGCAUCCAAAUAAUUUCAGCAAGCUGAAAGCAGCCUUGAGGGGCGUCAAGUGGGGAGGAGGGCCUGUCACAGGGAGACUAGCACUUAUCAGUUUGGAUACCAAGCAUCCUGAGACCUGCUGACUCAAAGGGAGACACUGAAGUAAAUGAAGAUCUCCUGUCUGUUCAGUUCCCCUCUUGUCCGUUUAACUCUUCAAACCCAUAGCUCUUCCUUUCCAUGCUUACUUUGGGAGUAAAUCAGCAAAUUGUUCUUUAAAACUUCACUCUUAUUGCCCUGAUUAUUUCACCUAGGGUCCCCAGCCCCUAUUUCUGCUUAGAAUAUGACCAGUGAAACUCCAUGGUACAGCAAGCCAGC